CCUACGGGUGGCAGCAGUGGGGAAUAUUGGGCAAUGGGCGCAAGCCUGACCCAGCAACGCCGCGUGAAGGAAGAAGGCUUUCGGGUUGUAAACUUCUUUUCUCAGGGACGAAGAAAGUGACGUUACCUGAGGAAUAAGCCACGGUUAAUUACGUGCCAGCAGCCGCGGUAAUACGUAGGUGGCAAGCGUUAUCCGGAUUUACUGGGUGUAAAGGGCGUGUAGGCGGGACUGCAAGUCAGAUGUGAAAACCACGGGCUCAACCUGUGGCCUGCAUUUGAAACUGUAGUUCUUGAGUACCGGAGAGGCAGACGGAAUGCCUGGUGUAGCGGUGAAAUGCGUAGAUAUUAGGAGGAACACCAGUGGCGAAGGCGGUCUGCUGGACAGCAACUGAUGCUGAGGCGCGAAAGCGUGGGGAGCAAACAGGAUUAGAUACCCCAGUAGUC
rnacentral:rRNA from 1 species